GGAGCACGAAGGUUAGCUAAUCCUGGUCGGACAUCAGGAGGUUAGUGCAAUGGCAUAAGCUAGCUUGACUGCGAGCGUGACGGCGCGAGCAGGUGCGAAAGCAGGUCAUAGUGAUCCGGUGGUUCUGAAUGGAAGGGCCAUCGCUCAACGGAUAAAAGGUACUCCGGGGAUAACAGGCUGAUACCGCCCAAGAGUUCAUAUCGACGGCGGUGUUUGGCACCUCGAUGUCGGCUCAUCACAUCCUGGGGCUGAAGUAGGUCCCAAGGGUAUGGCUGUUCGCCAUUUAAAGUGGUACGCGAGCUGGGUUUAGAACGUCGUGAGACAGUUCGGUCCCUAUCUGCCGUGGGCGCUGGAGAAUUGAGGGGGGCUGCUCCUAGUACGAGAGGACCGGAGUGGACGCAUCACUGGUGUUCGGGUUGUCAUGCCAAUGGCACUGCCCGGUAGCUAAAUGCGGAAG
rnacentral:rRNA from 1 species